AAAAAAAAAAAAAAAAAAAGAGCAGCAAGAGUUGAGGUAGUACAUUCACUUCCUUGAGUCUAAUGUCCCAUAGCAUAAGAUGAUAUAGCUGGAGUACAUUCACCUCAUGCUCAGCAGUAUUACUGCAGUAGACCAUUUCUUUAGAUUAAUUGCCAAGAGAAAACUCUAACUAAUGUCUCCAGAAUGACUUGUUUCACCAUUGUCUCAAGUCUUGUCAAGUGCUGUGAGUUCCCGGUAGUCACCGAAGCUGAUUCAAUGAUUUGCUUAGCGCCCUCCCCUCGAAGAUGACUCUUUGGAGACCUAGGGAGAAGGCCGAGUGCAAUGCCUCGGGCAAAGGCAGAAGAGCUUCCAAGAUAUGAGGGGAAGAAAUGUGCUGAAUUUGACGAGCAGCGCAACCUACGAGCUUUCCUGUAUGAUCCCUGCCCACCACCCCUAUAGCACCUUUCACAUGAAUGCAAAAUUUAGUUUAUAGUUAUCCCGAGGUGGGAGGGUCCAAGUGGAGGAAUGAGCUUCAAAUUCAGAUGCUGGACUCCUUGCUUGAGCUUGCCUCCUGAGGUUGAAUGGUGUGACGUAUUCCUCUAGUGAUUUCGAGGCCUGGUUGACUAUCUCAGUGGGUGACCAGUCAUGCUCAUUAAAGGCCAUGUCGUUGCGUGCCUUUGAAAGAUACCACAUAGGAAAGGCUAGUAGCUGCGUGAACUCCUUAUUUGCUGGGCAUUAAUAUUCCUGAAAGCUUCAAUUCUGAGACAUGCUGGCUGUGUGGCUUUAAUGCACAGGAAUAAUACAUGCCUGAUGGAUUCCUCUUCUCCACACAACUUGCAAGUCACACUCAAUCAUUUCAACUACUGCAUGAUUGAUUUCCUGUUGGAAAAACUCCAUUGCCCAGACGGUUAAAUUCUGCACAAGUCCAGGGUUUAUAUAACUUCGCCUUGGAGCAUUCAAUGUUAAGCAAGGGAACAAAAAGAAAAAUUAUGCUCAAAUAUCAAAUAACUUGAAACCUGUAUAUUAACUUUUAACAGUAUACAAAUUCACAGAACUAUUAAAGCAAACUUCCGUCUGUCUGCAGAAGGAUAUGUACAAUGUUCGAACUUCUGCAAUGCUAAUUCAAAACCUCAAGGAAAUUUGAUGCCUUCUCUAAAUAUCAGGGUCUCCAACUACUUCGACCAUCAGGACGGACUGGAAGUUUAGCAUCAAAUGGGUUGAGAGGCGGUCUCAAAAGAGAGUUAGAACUGAAUCCCAUAAAGGGAUUGUGACCUUGUAGCAUGUCUCCAUUACAGGGUCUUGGUGGUACUGGUUUCACAUUCUGACCCUUGAUAAGGGUGAGUUUUUGGGAAAAGAAAGGCGGAUAGACACCAGGAGAUGGAGAAGGGAAGAGGUGACUAGCAGGGCCACAAGGGAAACCUUCAAAAGUUGAGUUCAAAAUUUUAGAGGAUAUAAUAGCUCUUGAUGGCAUACCUGUUUCAGGAACCACUUGCCUGUGCAGCUUUGCAUUUGGUGGGCACCAUUCAGGCAUAUCAUCAUCAUCAUCAAAAAGAUUUUUGGAUUGGAGAACAUCAGCAGUGCUAACUGGUAAGCUAGUUUUGGCAGCAUGUUUUUCUUCUGAAUUUGGAAGGGCUAGAGUCUUGUCAUAUUCACGAACUUCAUUUUGCAGACGCAUCCUCUGAACAGCAUCAUGUGGAAGCCUUCCCAAACCAAAAUCUCCAUGUCCCCUUUGAUUGGAAGCUGGCAUUGACUGCAUAUUUGGCACCAUGGACAGCAAUGUCCUAUUAAUUUUCAUAAAAUUUUCAGCUGGAAGUUUCUUGUCAAUUGUUGCAGCAUCUAACAGCUUGCUUCCUGAAGCAGGUGAAAUACCGCAUGCAGCUCCAAAGUCAAAUUCAGGAAGAUCAUCAUCAUCAGGCGCAGGGAAAGGUCCUUUUACAGUGUCAGAUGGCAAUUUUAAGACAGGUCUAUGAAUUUCCAGAGCUGGUUUAGGUUUCUCUUGUGAGCUGCUCAUUAGAGGAGCUUCAAUCUGCAAUGUUCGUCCUACAAUUGUAGAGAAAUUGGGAGUGUCCGUAGUGGAAGGAACUUGAUGUCCAUUGGACAUAGAUGAUGAGUUGCUGCUGAGCACUGGAGAUAUUAGUAAGAGACUAGCAGUUGCAGAAGAUUUAAGUAGCUCAGGUUGAACUUGACUGGUCUCGAUAUGUUUGCAUUCAGCAUUAUCAUUUCCUGGACUACCAAGAAUUUUGCAAUCAGUUCUUGAUUCAACUCGGAUGGAUUCCCGAGCCGGUUUUGUCAGGGGAAAGUCUUUUUCAUCUACCCUUUGGCUAGAAGAGUCAGCAGCGGAAUUGAGAGGCUGUUCAGCCAGGGAAUGUUUCUUUCUCUCCGAUUUCUUUACAACAGAAUUAGCAGAUGUUCGAUUUCUUCUCCACACAACACAGCCAAUCAAGGAGUCUCGGUUAUCUUCAACAGCAGUCAUGCCCUUGAAGAACCCAUGUUUUGCAAGUACUGUGAUUAUGCUGUCACUAUGAGGACAUACAUAAAGAUCAAUACCCUGACAGAGUUGUGCAAGCCCAACCCUCUCUCCUUUCUUGUACCCUUUAGCAACCUAUUAAGUGGAGAUGAGAAGACCUAUUGAUCAUAAAUCUAAAUAGUCCUUAACCUUGGUUAAAAUUCUCUUUAUUUCAGACCCACUCACCUCCUUCAUGCCUGCUAAUCCAGAUUUAGAAGACCCCCCUUUGCAGUGAAGUGAGAUCACCAUCAGCCCUCGAUUGCGUGAGCGAGAAAGAUCUUGAAUAUAUUUUUCAAAAGCCUCAAGUCUAACUUUCCCUUUGACUUCGAUAAAAUUAGGCCACUUGCAAGCAGGCAUCUUCUCACCACUUUUAAAGGAGGCUAUAGCAGACACAGUUAUAGAGGAAUUUAGCUGAAGGGAUCCAUCCCAGAGAUUCUCAGCAACUAUUGGAGCUAAUUUUCCGGCAUGUGAUUUGCUUUUGUCAUCUGGUGAUUCAGAAGAUCCAACACUUAUGCCAUUUCUUUCAUUUAUAUUUCCAUCCUUAACAACAACAUUAGCAGAACUAUUGUCAUUCUUAUGAGAAAUCAUCUCUUCCAAUGAAUGCCUGGACUUCUCCAUAUCUGCUCCUGUUUUCUUCAUAAUUGGGACACCGCCAACUCCUUGACCUCGAUCAUUUACUCUGGCAUUAUCUCUGAAUCUAGUAGCUAAAGAACCACUGCCAGAUUGUACAUCAUUCAUCAAUGGCCUAUUGUUUUCAUUUUGUUCAAUGCAAGUGGAAGUCACAGACAAAGUUGCCCCAACAGUCAUGCCAUCAUUAAUUUUUGUGGCAUUUGAACCGUUCUUCUCCCAGGGAAAUAAUUUCUCAUGUGAAUUUCCCCCAUGCCCAUUACGGCUAACAUUAUUUUGGUCCAAAACUAGUAAGCGUCCUAAAUUUUCAGAUGUUGAACUGAAAGAAACAGAAUCUACAGACUGAGGAAGAGAAUUUCCAUGAUCAUUUAUCAGGUUUAGCUCCCCAGAAAAGUCAUGUUGAUCUGUGGUUAAUUUUCUCUUUCUUGUUGAAUCAGACAGACAAAUCAUAUCCAAAUUUCCUGAGCGAGGUAGCAGUGUCUUCUCCAUAUGGAUACCCAGAAAGCUAUUAAAAGAACACAUUAUCCAACAUUAUAACAUUGUGCUCUCUUGUGUCAAAUGCCAUUUGAAAUAGAAUCUCCCAACAGAUAUUAGAGUGUACUAGUCACCUUUCUAACCUGUGACCUUGAGAAUAAAGAGGAUGAGGCGUAGAAGGAGAGGUAACUGUGCAGAGAGCAGUGGCUUUGGAAUCUUUUAUUCACGUUUUUGUUGUUAGGGUUCAUCAGCGGUCAGCGCAGCAGAGCGUGCAGUGCUGUGCAGAGCGCCAGUCUCAUCAGUGACCACCAAUCCACUGGCUAAAAUUAACGACAGCUAUUACUAGACCAAUCCAUGGGCCAGUUCGGAUCGUAAAUUCGAUCAUUGAUUGGAUCUUGGCGAACCGAGCUGGCUCAGACUCGAUUACUUAUUACGACGCCAGUUACGGGCUUU
rnacentral:misc_RNA from 1 species